GGCGCGCUCGCAGCCAUUGUCGGGCAAAGCAUGGCGUUGCAGGUGCCGCCCCCA
rnacentral:ribozyme from 1 species